rnacentral:rRNA from 1 species
CUCCAGACUCCUACGGGAGGCAGCAGUAGGGAAUAUUGCUCAAUGGGGGAAACCCUGAUGCAGCGACGCCGCGUGGGUGAAGAAGUAUUUCGGUAUGUAAAGCCCUAUCAGCAGGGAAGAGCAGAAGACGGUACCUCUUGAAUAAGCCACGGCUAACUACGUGCCAGCAGCCGCGGUAAUACGUAGGUGGCAAGCGUUGUCCGGAUUUACUGGGUGUAAAGGGCGUGCAGCCGGGAGUGCAAGUCAGAUGUGAAAUCCCGCGGCUCAACCGCGGAACUGCAUUUGAAACUGUGCUUCUUGAGUGCUGGAGAGGCAGACGGAAUUCCUAGUGUAGCGGUGAAAUGCGUAGAUAUUAGGAGGAACACCAGUGGCGAAGGCGGUCUGCUGGACAGUAACUGACGGUGAGGCGCGAAAGCGUGGGGAGCAAACAGGAUUAGAUACCCCAGUAUCA